CACAGAACAGUUCUGUCAUCCAGACCAAGCAGGAAGGACCAAAGUGUUCAACAUGUCCAAAGAACUAGAAUCUUACAAGUUAGGUAAUAUUUCAAUCGACUUGGAUAAAACGAAGAAGGUGUCAACACCUGACGGCACUCAAAGAUAUAGCCACUCUGCUGUAGCCAUUGAGAUGCCUGCAACCAAUAUGACAACAGCACUUGUUGUGGGCGUCGCUGGUGUUUGCUUCGGUGCAUUGGCUGCCAAUUCCAUGAAGUCCAGUCAGUCGAAACAUCAAUGAAGGGAAUAUUCCUCAUCCUCAACCCCAUCUAUUCACCAUCCAAUAAUAAUAUAAACAUUAUUAUAAGAAGGGAGAGCUUUUACCAUAGCAGCAACAUACAUUCAUUAUUACACAAUCAAAAGAAAAUCAAUUUUUGGCCUGCUAUCUUGAUUCUUUAUUGAAUGAGUUUUGAUUAGAACAUGUUUAGGCUACAAUCUGUUAUUAUUCACCGUUGAUUGAUUUUGAAAUAUUCCUACAUGUUUAAUAAUUAGGUGUAAAAUGUGGUAUUUUUCUCCUAUCUUUAACUUUUGCUCUUAUUCAAUUGAAAGCCAUCUGAAUGAAUUGUAUAUGUUCUUGGCUGAAAAUGAAUCACAUGGAUGAAUCAAUUAAUCGCUAAAAUAACCAAUAGAUAAGUCGCCUGAUAAAUAAUUGUUUGUGGCACCCUGUACAUUUUUGUCUAUUUGCUAUGCUUUGCUGUGUAAUAUACAAUAAAAAUCUA